CCGUCGGUAGCUCAUCGGGUCAGAGAGCCUGCCUGCUAAGCAGAAUUAACGGGGUUCGACUCCCCGCCGACGGUCCA
rnacentral:tRNA from 1 species